UACGAAGGGGGCUAGCGUUGCUCGGAAUCACUGGGCGUAAAGCGCACGUAGGCGGCUUUCUAAGUCAGGGGUGAAAUCCUGGGGCUCAACUCCAGAACUGCCUUUGAUACUGGAGAGCUAGAGUCCGGAAGAGGUGAGUGGAACUGCGAGUGUAGAGGUGAAAUUCGUAGAUAUUCGCAAGAACACCAGUGGCGAAGGCGGCUCACUGGUCCGGUACUGACGCUGAGGUGCGAAAGCGUGGGGAGCAAACAGG
rnacentral:rRNA from 1 species